rnacentral:rRNA from 1 species
UGUCUAUGUUCCUUGGAACAGGACGUCAUAGAGGGUGAGARUCCCGUCUGAUGAGAUGCCCAUUCCUUUGUAAGAUACUAUCGAAGAGUCGAGUUGUUUGGGAAUGCAGCUCUAAGUGGGUGGUAAAUUCCAUCUAAAGCUAAAUAUUGGCGAGAGACCGAUAGCGAACAAGUACAGUGAUGGAAAGAUGAAAAGAACUUUGAAAAGAGAGUGAAAAAGUACGUGAAAUUGUUGAAAGGGAAGGGCAUUAGAUCAGACUUGGUGUUUUACGAUUAUCUUCUCUUCUUGAGUUGUGCACUCGUAUUUCACUGGGCCAGCAUCGAUUCGGAUGGCAAGAUAAUGACAGUUGAACGUGGCUCCACUUCGGUGGAGUGUUAUAGCUUCUGUUGAUAUUGCCUGUCUGGAUCGAGGGCUGCGUCUUUUGACUAGGAUGCUGGCGUAAUGAUCUAAUGCCGCCCGUCUUGAAACACGGACCAAGGAGUCUAACGUCUAUGCGAGUGUUUGGGUGUAAAACCCGUACGCGUAAUGAAAGUGAACGUAGGUGAGAGCUCUUUUGAGUGCAUCAUCGACCGAUCCUGAUGUUUUCAGAUGGAUUUGAGUAAGAGCAUAGCUGUUGGGACCCGAAAGAUGGUGAACUAUGCCUGAAUAGGGUGAAGCCAGAGGAAACUCUGGUGGAGGCUCGUAGCGG